rnacentral:rRNA from 1 species
UACGAAGGGGGCUAGCGUUGCUCGGAAUCACUGGGCGUAAAGCGCACGUAGGCGGGUUGCUAAGUCAGGGGUGAAAUCCUGGAGCUUAACUCCAGAACUGCCUUUGAUACUGGCGGCCUUGAGUCCGGGAGAGGUGAGUGGAACUGCGAGUGUAGAGGUGAAAUUCGUAGAUAUUCGCAAGAACACCAGUGGCGAAGGCGGCUCACUGGCCCGGUACUGACGCUGAGGUGCGAAAGCCAGGGGAGCAAACGGG